UUGACGUCAUUUUGACGCCAGACCAACGCGCAGCUAGUGGCAAAGCAGAAUGAGAACGCGACACCGAGCUGUUGCCAAGAGACUGCCUGCUCUGACGCUCGAAGUGAUGGAGCGGUUGCCCUGGAAAUCUUGCCAAUGACGUGGCCAUAAUGCUUGGUCUGAGGUGUCCUCUGAGAAGUAACACGUGAUGGAUUGUUGUAGGAGUUGUGUUUCUUACGUUAGUUAUUCAGAUUAGUUUCUGUGACCUGAAAUUUGCAUUGUGUUACUAAUGCAUUUGCUAACUGUGUAAGACGAAGUUUAUGGUAUAGUGGCUAUCAGAAAAGACGAAAUACUAUAAGUAGCUGAAAGUUUUGCGACACUGACUUCAUUUAACUCCACUCUGCUGCCGUGCGCUUUGUAAUUUGCAUUCCGAUUGGUGGUAACCUGGCUCGGACAUUUAUAGGCUCUCUUGUUUUUCGUUUUAUCUGCAGAAAAAAAAAAUUCCAGAUCUGUCAGACGCCAUGGCCCUUGCAAAAUGUCUUGUAAACGUUCCGUCAUAGAUUUUUAUACCUUGUAUUUUUUUUUCCUGGACUAUGAUCAGUCAAAAGCUACCAACUCACAGACACGUUCUGGUUUUACUUUGUAAGCCACUGCAGUUCGCUAUCAGUGUUUAAAGGGUACCGAAAUAGUAAACUAGCGAUUGCAUAAAAGUGCAAUGCAGGUAAUAAUUAUAUAAAAAAUGGCAUGCUGGUCCAAUGACUUGAAGACGCUGGAGCCUAGGAGGGAUCGGUUAGUAUACUGGGUCGUCAUAAUUUACCUCAAGUCUGCUCUAGCUGUCAGACGAACAGGAACCCUUAAUCAGAAGUUUUCGUGACUAGCAAGGGCUCACGUUUGUAAAACCUGUGUUGAUCCGAUAAAGUAAAUUGCACUACCUGUACCUUACUGUGAAAACUGUGAGUUCAUUUUAAUUAAGAUUUCGCGUAGAACACCAGCAACAAUGUAUUAAUCUGACCAGGGUUGCCACCUUUUCAAAUGCCCGAAGUGGGACAUUUGUGGUACAAACGUCAGCUUUUGCACUUCGAAACAUACACCCGGCUAGUACGAAGAAGAGAACUUCACAUUUUUGCUUAGCUAAAAGUUUAUUCUUGUAGUGCUUUAGUUGCUUAUUCUGUUUCUUAUAACAUUUAGGCGGCUCAGAUACAGAAUAACUCUUUUAUGCAACUAUUACAUAAACUAUAGGAAAUAAUUUUCUCCAAAAUUCUGAGGACAUUUGCAAUUUUUGCAGGACACAACUGCCCAAAGAGGGACUGUCCCUCGCAAAGUGGGACAGGUGGUAACCCUAAAUCUAACUCGCGCGCUUGGAACGGUUAUGUCACCACUGUAAAGGCUGGAAAAAUGCUGUAAAAUACACCCCAGAACAUCUAUAACCGUAUGGCUUCUUGGGCCCUGACUUACUUGAGUUAUUUCCUAAAUGGUUAUCACUGUGCUGAAUUGGUCAGGAAAGUUGGCAUUUUCCAGCAAAGAAUGCAAUUACUGUCAGUCAUCAUUAGCCCAGCACAGAGCAAGCACGUAGCCUCAUGUCUCGUUGCUGCUGUCUGCAGGAAAUGGAUAUUUUGUAAAGAGGCACCCAGUGAAGAUGCCAGAUGUGCAUUAUAUUUAUUAUCGUGAAGCAACAGUCAGAAGAACAGUCUAGCUGGAUGUAACUCCAAAACAUGAACUUCAAAAAAUAUAUUUAUGUAACAAAAAAAAAGAAAGAAAAGCAAAGAUCUAGAGAAGUUGUAAAAUGCAUUUUUUUAAGUAUCAGUAAUGAAAGCUACACAUUCAUUUUAACAUUGUGGAAUAAUUUUACAUUUGCAAAAAAAGCAAAAUAUAAAGUGUAGAAGUUACAGGCUGUAGAACAUUUGAUACGCAGCAUACAACUAACUUUCUCUGUCUGCUAAAAUAGCACCUGGCUGUCACAAAAUCUUCAAAUUGAUACAGGGAGGUAACAACACUGAAUGAAUGAAUGAAUGAAUGAAUGAAUGUUUUAGCCAAUGAUUUUCACUAAGGCACAUGGUUUGCAUGGCUAUAUUUUGUAAGAAAGUAUGUCAGUGUUCUAAGGAACUUGUUUGUGUCUUUCGGCUUUUCCUGGUUAGGGAUCGCCACAGCAGAACUCCGGUCCGCUAAUGACU